GAUGAACGCUGACAGAAUGCUUAACACAUGCAAGUCGAUUCGAUUUACCCUCGGGUAUUGAGGAUGGCGGACGGGUGAGUAACGCGUAAGGAACUUGCCUCUUGGUCUGGGACAACUGUUGGAAACGACAGCUAAUACCGGAUAUUAUGAGAUUCUCGCAUGGGAAACUUAUGAAAGCUAUAUGCGCCAAGAGAGAGCCUUGCGUUCCAUUAGCUAGUUGGUGGGGUAACGGCCCACCAAGGCGACGAUGGAUAGCCGGCCUGAGAGGGUGAACGGCCACAAGGGGACUGAGACACGGCCCUUACUCCUACGGGAGGCAGCAGUGGGGAAUAUUGGACAAUGGGCCACAAGCCUGAUCCAGCAAUUCUGUGUGCACGAUGAAGGUCUUCGGAUUGUAAAGUGCUUUCAGUUGGGAAGAAGAAAGUGACGGUACCAACAGAAGAAGCGACGGCUAAAUACGUGCCAGCAGCCGCGGUAAUACGUAUGUCGCAAGCGUUAUCCGGAUUUAUUGGGCGUAAAGCGCGUCUAGGCGGAAAAAUAAGUCUGAUGUUAAAAUGCGGGGCUCAACUCCGUAUUGCGUUGGAAACUGUUUUUCUAGAGUACUGGAGAGGUGGGCGGAACUACAAGUGUAGAGGUGAAAUUCGUAGAUAUUUGUAGGAAUGCCNAUGGAGAA
rnacentral:rRNA from 1 species